AAGGCGAGUUUGAAAUGCGGGACUUUCCAUUCCACCCUCUGGCCCAGGAAUGCUUUGCUGGCCCAGAGAGUCAAGAUUUCCUGGCAGAGGGUGCUCCUGAGAAUAUUGUGGAGCAGGGAAUAGAUCAAACUUGUUUUGUUUGGCGCGGGGGUUGGGGGGCCGGUGGGCUCCUAUAGUUCCCUCCAUAGCUCGGUGGUAAAGAAACCUCGUGCAAUGCAGGAGACCCAGGUUCGAUCCCUGGGUCGGGAAGAUGCCCUGCAGGAGGGCAUGGUGGGUCGGGAAGAUGCCCUGGAGGAGGGCAUGGCAACCCACUGCAGUAUCCUUGUCUGCAGAAUCCCAGGGAUAGCGGAGCCUGGCGGGGCUACAGCCCAUGGGGUCGCACAGUCGGACUUGUGCAGCCUGUAUGGUCUUUUACGAAGCUCCUCCCCCGAGACCUUGUAUCCCUCUAAGAUCGUCAGCUCUGAUGACCCUAGAUACAGUUGCCCGGCAGUUUGCUAACGCUGGGUGUGUUUACAUUGCUGGAUUUCCCGUCCAGGGUCCUCAAACUCCACACGUGGCGACGGGCCUCUGACAGGACCCCACUCUGAAGGCAGGACAGCUGCUUUGCAGACUUGAAAGGAAGCACCACCGCCCGAGGUUAAUCAGCACAGAGGGGUAACGCCCCUGAGAUCAGAGAGACGCGAGGGAAGCGAAGGAGGGUUUAAGAAGCUGCAGAGGCGUCUCUGGGCGGAGGCCCUGGGCGGGGUGUGUGCGGGAGGGGCGGAGGGGGGGACUUUGACGCGCGUUGCCACAUGCACUUUUAAGGAGUGAGGAGGCAACGGACCAGCCCCGCUGUUUCCAUGGCAACGGGGCGGCUGCAAUCCUCCGGCUGCAAACCGCUUCCCUCUUUGUGAAGCCAGAAGGAGGAAAAGAGCUAGCUCAACUCAGAGAGGACCUUACCUCCUAGAGCGGGGAUCGAACCAGCACGCCCUGCCCUGGAAGAGUCUGUUCACUUCCUAUGAACGAAGCAUCGCUGUGAUUUCAAAAAUGAAGAACCGUUCACGACAUCCUCACCUGGUGUCUUUCUCGUCCUCUGGGGAGCCUGAGGCAGUCCUUACGACGACCAGCUGCUCUGGAGACAGCAUCCGCCAGUAAUCUCAUCGUUAUGGGAGUAACUCAAGUUUUCCAUACUCAGGAAAACAAUGCAGUGAUUCAGCUUUCCCAGCAAAAUCGCAUAAGCCCAAAGACAAACCAUGAUCCAUUAAAAAAAAAAAACUUAGAUGUCCUAAGGAGCUUUUAGUAAAACUACUGAAAAAGUUGAAAGUGAUGCAUAGAAAUUCUAGAAAUAUUAGCUUUAAAUUUGAUCGAUUUAAAAUGGUGGUUUAGUUGCUAAGUCGUGUCUGCCUCUGGGGAUCCCAUGGACUGUAGCCCACCAGGCUCCUCUGCCCACAGGAUUCUCCAAGCAAAAAUACUGGAGUGGGUUGCCAUUUCCUUCACGAGGGGAUCUUCUUGACCUAGGGAUUGAACCCAGGUCUCCCUGCAUUGCAGGCAGAUUCUUUACAGUCUGAGCCACCAAGGAAGUUGGAACGUCCAUUAAUGUAUGCAGUUCACAGAGUGGCAAAGAGUUGGACACAACUUAGCCACUAAACCACAAAAUUCAUAAGUUAACUUCAGUCCAUCUGAAAGUGUAUGAGUGUGUGUGUGUAUCCAGAUGGUUUUCAUCUUUUUUCCAUAUAGGAAGCCAGCGAUUCCAGUGCUUUUUAUCGAAAGCUCUUCACUUACUAAGCCAUGAGUAAUCGCUCCUCUCCUGAUAAGUUAGCAUGUGCUGACCCAACCGUUUCCAGCCGUAGGUCUUGCGUCUGUUUUUCUGGGGUCUUUAUCUGACCACUGCAGCCAGAUGGACAUGUUGGAGGCAGGCCACAGCAGGCUGCAGCCUGAGGGUCCCUUCAAAGCAGCCGCCACGUAAAGAGUGAGUAGUCUCGGUGGUCAACACUGCACUUCCAUCACCCCGCAGCAGGGAGGCUUCUGUGGCGUUUCCCACAGCCUCUGCAAAGCUCACAGCAGGAUUAAACCCAGUCGUCGAUGGUGGUUUGCUAUUGUUUGUUGUUUUAGUAGCUAAGG